GUUUCUUUGUUAAUUAACUGAUGAAUACUUGCCUCUUGGUCCGUGUUUAUGAGAAACAUGAUUCUAUAAGAGGUCUGAUUUUUAUAUAUAAUAUGUAAUGAAAUGACUAGCCCUUUUGUAGUUAUGUUUAGCAUAGUCCAAUCUUCAGGUGUGCAGAAGUGAGAAAUUUUGUAUGGGCUAGUGCAAGUUAUGCUACAGUUGUCCAGUCAACCUUGCCACUUGCCUACAAAGGUGGAUUGAUGAAGUCUUCAGUUUCUGCAUCUGGACAGUCUUUUGUAUGGGAAUGGACUAAUUGCUGUGGCAGUAUGAGAUGGUACCUAAAAUGAACUUACGGCCACAGUGAAUUGAACAUUUAUUUUAUUCGUCCAGUCUAACAUCGUGAAGCUGUUAGCAGACCACUUCAGGUGUGCAGAAGUGAGAAAUUUUGUAUGGGCUAGUACAAGUUAUGCUACAGUUGUCCAGUCAACCUUGCCACUUGCCUACAAAGGUGGAUUGAUGAAGUCUUCAGUUUCUGCAUCUGGACAGUCUUGUAUACGUAAGCAAGAGGUUCCAUGUCGGCGAAGGCUCGAGUCUUUGCAACAGACAUUGCAUCCAGUGGACUCUUUAGGCUACAGCCUUGUGUAAUGUUCCUUGUGUGGAUACUAGAGAAGCUCAGCCUUUUGAAAAUUGCUCCGUGGUCAAGAUGACAGGUUUUUGCAACUCGACAGUCUGGUAAGAAUAUUCAGCCAGUCUGCAAUAGUUAAGCUUUGCUAGCAGACCACACUAGGGCAAGGAAUGGUGUCCCGAUGUGACUUCUUGUGAAACUACCGAGACUAGCUUUUUGCCAGUUGGACGAGUGAUAAUGGACUAAAGUAGACUCGGUGUUGAACAAAGAAUGGGACUAAAAUUAGUGUUAAGCUGAUUGAUCUGCCUCCUCUCCCUUUACUAAAUCUUAGCACCAAUUAUUGCUUUCUUGUCUGUAUAUUAUGCUCAACCUUGACAUCUGACUUAAAUAUGCCUGGUAUACAGGUGAUAUGUCUGUUUCCUAAAGCUACACUUGUCUACAUAAAUCAUCCUGCAUUUGUCAUUGGUGCUACUAUUAAAGUUCACUACUUGCUACA